AGAGUUUGAUCAUGGCUCAGAACGAACGCUGGCGGCAUGCUUAACACAUGCAAGUCGAACGCAAGGCUUCGGCCUUGAGUGGCGCACGGGUGAGUAGCGCGUGGGAACCUGCCCUGGAGUGGGGAAUAACCGAGGGAAACUUCGGCUAAUACCGCAUACGCCCCUGCGCAAGCAGGGGGAAAGAUUUAUCGCUCGAGGAG
rnacentral:rRNA from 1 species